AUAGUUGGAGCACCCUUGCGGGGUUAAAUCUUUCAGAAAGUCGUGACCGCGGUUAUGUGGCAACUUGAAACUUUGUUUAACACUCGUUCUUAGCAAACCUGAAGUAAACUUAAUUAAAAUAUGCCAAUUGUGUGCGUAACUGUGACUGCCUCUUCUCGUGAGCUUUGUAUAUAGAGAGGACACGGUGGGGUUAUGUUUGACUCGUAAGUAGGUGUUCAUGAUCACUUUAUGAUCAUUGCUAGCUCACGUCCGUUUAUGCGUAGAUCACCCCUCUUAUUCUUAUACUCGUAAGUUAGUCACCUCAAAUAAAUGCUUAGUUGCUUGCUGCAGCCUCACCACUUAACCACACCUCAUCCAUUAAGCUUUGCUAGUCUUGAUACCUUUGGAAAAUGAGAUUGCUGAGUCCCUAUGGCUCAAAGAUUACUACAACAAAAGUUUCAGGUACAGGUAAAGCGAUACUUUGACAUGAGCGUGAUGUUUGUUCUAUUUGGAGUUACUUAUUAUUCUUCUUCAUCGAUCUAGGAUGGGUUGCAGGCUAGCAGCGUGGGAUAGCAAGGUUGUACGUCAUUCUUUUAUCGUUUGAUUUCAUACGUAUUCGGACCCUGCUCUUCUACAUGGUGAUUGAAUAUAUUCUUGUAUUAUGUUGUUCAUGUUGUAGCUUGUGGCGAGUGUAAGCCAAUUCCAUAU
rnacentral:lncRNA from 1 species